UACGAAGGGGCUAGCGUUGCUCGGAAUCACUGGGCGUAAAGCGCACGUAGGCGGACUCUUAAGUCGGUGGUGAAAUCCUGGAGCUCAACUCCAGAACUGCCUUUGAUACUGGCGAUCUCGAGUUCGGGAGAGGUGAGUGGAACUGCGAGUGUAGAGGUGAAAUUCGUAGAUAUUCGCAAGAACACCAGUGGCGAAGGCGGCUCACUGGCCCGAUACUGACGCUGAGGUGCGAAAGCGUGGGAG
rnacentral:rRNA from 1 species